rnacentral:tRNA from 2 species
ACCAGGAUGGCCGAGUGGUUAAGGUGUUGGACUUAAGUUCCAAUGUACGGAUGUACGCGUGGGUUCGAACCCCACUCCUGGUA